rnacentral:lncRNA from 1 species
GGUAUGAGUACAAUAGCAGAACCAGACACAAUGUCUUUGAAUCACUGACAAGUCAUUUCAGAGGGGUAGGCAACCAAUGGGCAGAGAAGGGAAAAACCCCGGCAGUGGGUAGGCCUCUCUCAUGGAACAUGUUGGAACUACUGAUUGGGCACACCGUUCUCGGAGAUUCUUGGACAAAUUCUGUUGUACAGGGUCUGAAAUUCAGCCCAUUCCCACCCAGAAAGCAAGGAGAUAUAAUCAAAGAAUUCAGGACCUGAUCAAACUCCUACCCCACUUUGAAGACAUCAUCCAGUUAUCCUAGUUAUCCAACCACCAGAAGGAAAGAAUAGUGAAAAGACUAAAGCUUCACAGACUUGUAUGGAAGAAAUGUUAACAGCAGAGGGGUGAAAUCUGUAUGGUGAACAUCCGAGUGGGUACAGAAUAAAGUGUCAAGGGCUGGUCUCUUGGUGCAUGGUCUCUUGGUACCCUGAAACUUCUGUCUCGCUGCUAUUAAAGUGACUCCUGAUUUGAG